rnacentral:tRNA from 1 species
UGCGGGGUAGAGCAGUGGCAGCUCGUCAGGCUCAUAACCUGGAGGUCAGUGGUUCGAAUCCACUCCCCGCUACCU